rnacentral:rRNA from 1 species
CGAGACGCUGGCGGCGUGCCUAACACAUGCAAGUCAAGGAGAAUUCCCGACUUGUCGGGAUAGUAAACUAGGCGAACGGGUGAGUAACACGUAGGUAAUCUAACCCUCGGGAUCGGGAUAACCUCGCGAAAGUGGGGAUAAUACCGAAUAAAGUCUCGGUAUAAUUUGUCGAGAUGAAAGAUGGGGAUCUUCGGACCUAUUACCUGAGGAUGAGCCUGCGCCUGAUUAGCUAGUUGGUAGGGUAAAUGCCUACCAAGGCAACGAUCAGUAGCUGGUCUGAGAGGAUGAUCAGCCACAUUGGGACUGAGAUACGGCCCAGACUCCUACGGGAGGCAGCAGUGAGGAAUUUUGCGCAAUGGGCGAAAGCCUGACGCAGCAACGCCGCGUGACUGAUUAAGCUCUGAGGAGUGUAAAAGUCUGUCGUAGAGGAAGAAACUAUCCGAUAAGAAUAUUGUCGGAUACUGACGGUACUCUAUGAGAAAGCUCCGGCUAACUCCGUG